rnacentral:lncRNA from 1 species
GCCCGCGGCUGGUGGUCACAGGGGCCGGCCCGGGGGGGUCCCCGCAGUGUCCCUCUUUUGGGGGAAAGCAAGGCGUAGGCGCUACGGGGUGCUUGGGGGAAAGGGGAGCAGCCCCCACGUACCGGCAGCGUGAGCACCGGGGACCCUGCAUCCCCCCAGCAAAGCUGCCCUGGUGCUGCUUGCCAAGCCCAGGGUGGGGGGACACGUCCAGGAGAAGCAGCACCUCCGAGGAGAGGUGGGCUCCAGCCCCAAGGGGACGAGGGGUGUCCGUCCCCAGGCAGGCAGACCCCGGUUCCCCCCUCUCCCCCCCUCCCCUCCCCGCUCCCCUCCUUCCUUUGCACAUCGCUCUUCAGUUUGCAUUUCAUGACUUUUUCUUUUCUGUUCUGUCCCUCCGGGUCACCGAGUUGGUCUCAAUAAAGCGUUUUCUCUCCUUGGUUUCUCCCUCGUUUUCUUCAUGCUGCUCUGGCUCCCCACGCUCACCCCUCAUCGCCUGCUCUCUCACGCCGGCUCUCGGACACAGCUUUCCUCAUCUUCUGCCACCUUCCAAGACGUUCUCCAUCGCUCCUUCGGCCUGAAUUAGUAGGGUUAGACCUGGUCCUGUCUGCUCCCCAUCCUCACUCCCGGACACCACGACAACCUCUCACAGCCCCGACGUCUCCUCUGUCUCCCUCUCGCGCCAACAGGGCUGUCCCUACUGUGCGGCAACAAUUCCUGGCCCUAAAUGGGUCCCCAAUCCUCACCCCUCAGCAUCCUGCCCUCUCCCCAAACUCAGAAUUGAUGGUCCCAGGACCGGCUGCCUCCUCCCGCCGUCCCCACUGGUCCCCAGUGCCCACCAGUGGCUCUCGCAGGCAGCACUGUCUCUUUUCACUAACUCUCUUUUCUCUCUCUCUCCCCCUUUGCUGCGCUGACGUCUCUCCGUUUUCUCUAGAGCGCUCCCGGCAGGAGGCCGAGAAAAACCGCGUUCUCACUAACGAGCUGCGGGUCAUCCUUACCGAACUUAACAACUGAGCUAAGGCAGCUCCAGCCCCAGCACAGCCUCUCACCCACAGGGCACCCCCAGCCCCGACUGCCCCCCUGCCCCGUUUUGGCCAGGCUGGUUUGGGGCUGGGAGCCCCUGCCCGCUCCCCGCUGGGAUAACCGCCCUGCUGGGGGGGACAGGGAGCCCCUGGGGAGCUGAUGUUUUUUUUGGGGGGGAGAGGGAUGAGGGGUUUUGCCAUGUC